rnacentral:lncRNA from 1 species
UGCCACUGAGUUUCUCCCAGCAAUAUCUAAACAUAAAACAGGAGUGAUUUUAAAAGAAAGUGGGUUCAUCAGGUUAGUGGUAGUGUAAUUCUGAAAACGGUAUGAAAGCAAAGAAGUAAUGACAAUGAGCAAAUUGAAGGGCCAAUAUAAUUUGCCUUGCCUGCACUAAGGAAAGAAAUUGUAAAUUAAACUUCCUGUCUCACUGGAAAAUAAUGGUUGAACUUAACAAGCCCACUAAGGGACACCCAAAAUCUGAGUUUCUGGAAUACUGCAACAAUAAGACGCUAAGGUUUUAUAAAACCGCACCAAAGAUAUCCUUUGCCGGAUGCAACACUUCUCAAGCCCUCUAAAAAAACCUCUGAUUUUUACCUCCACACGACAGGCCUCUGCAUAGUUACUUCUCGUUCCCUUAAACCUCACCACAGGCGGGGACCCUAUGUCAAUCGUGAUCAAGGCCUCUGCGAACUACACACUAAAAUGCUUCUAUUUCUUAUCUGGAGAACAAAAUGGAAACUAUGGCAACAGAGAAAGAUCUACUAAAGUCCAUCAAAGCCUGAGAAGGUAACUCAGCCCACCUCAGUCUAGAGUCCUUGACCUCUCUGCUAAGACUUCCAACAAGAGGAACACUUCUUGUGUGAACCAGACCAUGGGAAUACCAUGCGUGAACCAGACACUGGGAACAGGACUAAAGGCUUUCCGUUUCAAGCUGUAAGAACGAGACUGGGAGUGGAAUUCAGAAUCACGCUUUGGCCAAGACCGAAGCAAGUUGUGUGGAGAACGCCACAGCCGAGCUCGACCGGGUGUGCAGCUGGAAGGACACUCAGGACACUGCGCCCUCCACGUCCAACCUUUGAAAGGCUCCAGCUCUUCAUCAAAGGCUAUUCAGAGAAACAUACCCCCCACACACUAACAUUUUGAGUUAAUGUUUUGAAAAAUGAAGGUUAAGAUCAAAGUGUAAGAGGACAGUCUAAGCAUUAAAAAAUAGUGCAGGGAUCUUCCAUUGUGCACUACUGUCUUGAUAAGUCAUCUAAGUAGUUAAUGAUAUUUGGAUUUUAGGAGGUGGACUGGUACUUG